rnacentral:rRNA from 1 species
UACGGGGGGGGCAAGCGUUGUUCGGAAUUACUGGGCGUAAAGGGCUCGUAGGUGGCCAACUAAGUCAGACGUGAAAUCCCUCGGCUUAACCGGGGAACUGCGUCUGAUACUGGAUGGCUUGAGUUUGGGAGAGGGAUGCGGAAUUCCAGGUGUAGCGGUGAAAUGCGUAGAGAUCGUAAGGAAGACCAGUGGCGAAGGCGGGUCUCUGGACAGUUCCUGACACUGAGGCACGAAGGCCAGGGGAGCAAACGGG